rnacentral:lncRNA from 1 species
UUGUUUCCCUGCAGUGGGUGCAGUCUGAGGGCCCUGGUGGUGCAUUUGCACCAAGGAGAGAGAGGCCACUUCUGCCUGACACAUAUAUCUUCUCUCCUCCCUUGUCUAGGGUUAGGAACUGUCAGAGUGUGGCUCAACUGAGAAACAACUUUCUGAGUAGAGGUGGGGUAAGAUGGGCUAAGAGGCUUCUGAGGUCAUGUGUUCACCAUCACUGAGGCAUUGUGAUGUGUUAGGUGGGUCUGAACCCUCUGGCUUCAGAGAGAGUGCCUGUGGGGCACCAGGUAAUCCGAGACUGCAGCUCAGAGAUUACUCCAGCAAAGGGUCAGUAUCCACACUGCCUCUGCUACAUGCCCCUUGGUCACUCACUCAUUGUUCUGAUGAUAAGAUCAACAGAUCACAAGAAGGGUGAGUAAAGUACAGUAAGAUAUUUUGAGAGACCACAUUCACAUAACUUUCAUGAGUAUAUUGUUAUAAUUGUUCUGCUUUACUAUUAUUGUUAAUCUCUUACUGUGCCAAAUUUGUACAUUAAAUUUUAUCAUAGGUGUGUAUGUACAGGAAAAAGCAGUAUAUAGGGUUUGGUGCUAUCCAAGGUUUCAGGCAUCUGCUGGGGGUCUUGGAACAAAUCUCCUGGGGAUAAGGAGGAACUGGAUGACUAAGGUGCUCAACCAGCCAAAGCCUGGGAGUGAGGAGCAUGAGAAGAGCACCAGCUUGGCCUCCCAGAGGCAGCAAUGUGCCCAGCCCUGCAAUGACAAAGCACAGGCAGGUCCUGGAAGCUGCAGGAGAAAGUAGAACAUGCCCUCCCUGCUCACCUUUUAAUGUGGGGAACUCAGUAACGUGGUCACGAGAAUCCAAUAGAAGUCACCUUCCCUGUGUUUUCCGGGUCAGAGAAUUCCCUUCUGGAUAGAGACCUGCACGUGAGGGAGUCUCCAGCCAAUGGCUGGAGUGGUGUGCUUACCUCUCUAGAAAUGUGAGAAGCAGGCAAUUAGCAGGCCUCUGUGACAACUCUGAUACUGUUGUCUAUCUUAAUUUCAAUCCUGUAUGUGUUUGUGUGUAAGAUUUUUGUAUUAACAAUAUAUUUAAGUUGACAUAAUUUGCCUUUUGAAGGGAAAAUUUAGCCCAGUAAUAGUUAUUAUAAUCAGUGAUAUAUUUGGAAUUAUUUAUACAAUUGCUCUAAUUUUUUGACUUCUAUUUAAUAGACUUUAUAUCAAGAAAGAAGCAGUAUAAUAGUUAA